rnacentral:rRNA from 1 species
UACGAACUCUGGCUGCGUGCCUAAUACAUGCAAGUAGGACGCAGUUGCGCACGGGUGAGUAACGCGUAGGUCACUGCCUAUUCGAGGGGGAUAACUAUUGGCAAUGAUCGCUAAUACCGCAUACUAGUAGAUGGACCUGCGUUGUAUUAGCUAGUAGGUAGGGUAAUGGCCUACCUAGGCAACGAUACAUAGCCGACCUGGGUGGGUGAUCGGCCACGCGGGGACUGAGACACGGCCCGGACUCCUACGGGAGGCAGCAGUAGGGAAUCUUCGGCAAUGGGGGGAACCCUGACCGAGCAAAGCCGCGUGAGUGAAGAAGGUUUUCGGAUCGUAAAGCUCUGUUGUUAAGGAAGCGGUACUUAACCAGAAAGGGACGGCUAACUACGUGCCAGCAGCCGCGGUAAUAC